AAGUCGUCCAGGUAGGGCUGCACCUUGGCCUUCACCUCCUCCAGAUCCUUGCUCAUCUCCUGCCUCAGGCCCUCUGUCCUUCACUCGAUCCCAGGGGCUCUGGGGGGGUUCAUCUUGCUGCCAGAAAUGCCGAGCCUGGCUCCCUGAGGGUGGGAGGGGAGACCCAGAUCAGGCCAGCUGUGGGCUGAGAUCUGAGCCGAAAGGCCAAGCUUGGAGGUGGGGGAGAGGGGGCCAGUGAGAAACCUGCUGCCUCUGCCCAGGAGGGUGGGCCACGGGGAUUUAGGGAGAAAGCCCCCCGAUGGUUGGCUCCCUAGGUUAGGG
rnacentral:lncRNA from 1 species